rnacentral:rRNA from 1 species
UACGUAGGGGGCGAGCGUUGUCCGGAAUUAUUGGGCGUAAAGGGCUCGUAGGCGGUCUGUCGCGUCGGGAGUGAAAACUCAGGGCUUAACCCUGAGCCUGCUUCCGAUACGGGCAGACUAGAGGUAUGCAGGGGAGAACGGAAUUCCUGGUGUAGCGGUGGAAUGCGCAGAUAUCAGGAGGAACACCGGUGGCGAAGGCGGUUCUCUGGGCAUUGCCUGACGCUGAGGAGCGAAAGUGUGGGGAGCGAACAGG